UGCAUCGUUUGCUAGCUACUUCAGAGUCUACUUUUGACGACUUGAAAGCAUUGACGCGAAGGUAAUUUCUUCUUCUUCUCUUGUGCUUUCUUCUUUUAUUGGUUUCUCUUUUUUUUUGUAGGUCGAACAAGAAGGAUUUGUUCUUGUUCAACAAGAUGAUCCAUGCACGAAGAAGCCAAUCUUGGGGUGUGAGGGGAAGAGUACUCAUCCUUGACCGACUAUCAGAGAGAUUACUCUCAAAACGGCCCGACUAUCAGAAAGAUUACUCUCAAUGUGGCCUGACUAUCGGAGAGAUUACUCUCAAUGUGGCUCGACUAUCGGCGAGGCCAACUUAAGGUGCAAAGGGACUCAUAGGUCCACCUUAAGAUUGGAAAGUUAUAGUUCCUUUUAAGGACAAUCCCGUGAAGUGGCUAACUUAAGGUGCAAAGGGACUUAUAUGUCCAUCUUAAGAUUGAAAAGUUAUAAAGCUUCAACUCGAAUACGACAUCGACUUGAACACUUGGAAAACUUUGAAGAUUUGGCGGACUUUGCAGACUUCAACUCGAAGAUUCGGAGGGCUUAAAUAUUUCAACUUGAAGAUCGGCGAAUUUGAAGACUUCAACUUGAAGACCGACGGACUUGAAGACUUCAAUUUUGAGACUUGGAGGGCCUAAAUAUUUCAACUUGAAGAUUAGCGAAUUUGAAGACUUCUACUUGAAGACCGACGGACUUGAAGACUUCAACUUUGAG
rnacentral:lncRNA from 1 species